AGUAAUAUGUCUGAUUAAAGUAAUAAACUGUAAAUUUAUUUAAAGAAAAUUAAAUUUUCUUAUUACUA
rnacentral:tRNA from 1 species